GUGUUUGCUUCACAGCACAGUUUACUAAGACUGGAACGAUACAGAGAUUAGCAUGGUGCCUGCACAAGGAUGACAUGCAAAUUCAUGAAGCAUUCCAUAUUUUU